AUUCAAACCUACCAAUCAACCCUUUCUCUGUACAAAAGCGCCAUAGACUUUGCUUCAUGGAGUGAGGACUCAUCACUCGAAAGCUCUCUCUUCUCCGUAUCUCCCUUUGAUUCUACCUUUCUUGUUCAUCAGCCUUUGAGCUUCGUUCAUGGCUCAGUACCAAAACCACCAACAUUUUCGUGACGAUGAGUCCAUGGAUCCCCACAAGUUCAUCGAGAGCUUCAUCCUAGCAUCAUGCGGGGAGAAGAAAAGGCACGAGUUUGAUCUCAAAUAUUCAGUGUCUUACACACAAAGACUGAUUAAGAAACACCUGGGAAUUUCUGUAGUCCAAGAUUUAGCGCUUUCUUCGUCGGCUACUUCAUCUUCGUUUCAGUUACUUCAACAAACCAUCGAUCAAUUGGCUUCUCGUCAUGCUGGUUCUGAGCAGAACAUGCUUCAGGUUUGGGAUGACCUCAUCAAAAUGUCUGAUCCUCAUCAUGUUCUCCUGGAGCCUGCAAAAACAUCACUUGCUAGCCCAAAUUUGUAUAUAAUAUGCUUGAUUAUUCAAGUAUAAUAUAUAUGGUCAAACGAGUGACAUUGGAGCCACGGAGACUCACCUCGGAGGGGCAUGAGGAUGGAUGCUGCUACAUCUGUUUCUCAUCUCUUUUCUAGGAUUGUGUGAAGUAAAUUUGUUUCAAAGUGACGAGAGAAAAUGAGAGGCAUGCCGCAGUUUGGGUUCCUCUCAAUUUUCAUAUCUCUCACUGUACUUUU